AUAAUCAAAACUUUUAACAACGGAUCUCUUGGUUCUGGCAUCGAUGAAGAACGCAGCGAAAUGCGAUAAGUAAUGUGAAUUGCAGAAUUCAGUGAAUCAUCGAAUCUUUGAACGCACAUUGCGCCCGCCAGCAUUCUGGCGGGCAUGCCUGUUCGAGCGUCAUUUCAACCCUCAAGCUCUGCUUGGUGUUGGGGCCCUACAGCUGAUGUAGGCCCUCAAAGGUAGUGGCGGACCCUCCCGGAGCCUCCUUUGCGUAGUAACUUUACGUCUCGCACUGGGAUCCGGAGGGACUCUUGCCGUAAAACCCCCCAAUUUUCCAAA
rnacentral:misc_RNA from 1 species